UACGUAGGGUGCGGGCGUAAUCGGAAUUACUGGGCGUAAAGCGUGCGCAGGCGGCGCGUUAAGACAGGUGUGAAAGCCCCGAGCUUAACUUGGGAAUUGCGCUUGUGACUGGCGUGCUGGAGUGUGGCAGAGGGAGGUGGAAUUCCACGUGUAGCAGUGAAAUGCGUAGAGAUGUGGAGGAACACCGAUGGCGAAGGCAGCCUCCUGGGCCAGCACUGACGCUCAUGCACGAAAGCGUGGGGAGCAAACAGG
rnacentral:rRNA from 1 species